GACGUAGGGGGCGAGCGUUGUCCGGAUUUAUUGGGCGUAAAGCGCGCGUAGGCGGUCCGUUAAGUCGGGUGUGAAAACCCGGGGCUCAACCCCGGGCCUGCAUUCGAUACUGACGGGCUAGAGGCAGGUAGGGGGAAGUGGAAUUCCUGGUGUAGCGGUGAAAUGCGCAGAUAUCAGGAGGAACACCGGUGGCGAAGGCGGCUUCCUGGACCUGUCCUGACGCUCAUGCACGAAAGCGUGGGGAGCAAACAGG
rnacentral:rRNA from 1 species